UACGGAGGGGGCUAGCGUUGCUCGGAAUCACUGGGCGUAAAGCGCACGUAGGCGGGUUGUUAAGUCGGGGGUGAAAUCCUGGAGCUCAACUCCAGAACUGCCUUCGAUACUGGCGACCUUGAGUCCGGGAGAGGUGAGUGGAACUCCGAGUGUAGAGGUGAAAUUCGUAGAUAUUCGGAAGAACACCAGUGGCGAAGGCGGCUCACUGGCCCGGUACUGACGCUGAGGUGCGAAAGCGUGGGGAGCAAACAGG
rnacentral:rRNA from 1 species